rnacentral:misc_RNA from 1 species
UUUUUUUCUUCUCCAACAGAGUAGCAGAUUCUGGGUUUUCAUUAACACAAUAGAACAGGUAAUCCUGACUCCUGAGCACCAGUCUCAGAUUCAGAGAGCAUUCGUCCUUGAUUAGGGAUCCGAGACUGUUAGUUGUUGGGAUUGGCACUGGAGUCGUGAAUUGCACGGCGAAGUUCACUCAGGAAGUCCAUCUGUGAACCAGGUCCACCACUAUUUGCUGGAGACAUAAACUGAAUUGCAAUCCAGUAGCAUGUGUGUGAGAAAGAAAGAGAGAGGAAGGAUGACAUAGCAGGAAAGACGUGCUCACCUGAUGAGGAAGUCUGAACUGACCCCAUG